rnacentral:misc_RNA from 1 species
AAGUCGUAACAAGGUUUCCGUAGGUGAACCUGCGGAAGGAUCAUUAAUGAACUGCCGAAAGGGAGUUGUCGCUGGCCUACAUAGGCAUGUGCACACCCCCGUUCACAUCCACUCACACAUGUGCACGACCUGUAGUUUCCGGGGCAGGGGAUGGCAUGUCCCGCCCUGGGUUCUACCCCUUUUUUCUUCCACGCACGCCGUCGAAAAGUCACAGGGAACGUAACGUAGCGUAAUGACGCAAACUAGUACAACUUUCAGCAACGGAUCUCUUGGCUCUC